rnacentral:piRNA from 1 species
UCUGCAGCCAAGUGAAGAGAAAGC